rnacentral:rRNA from 1 species
UACGUAGGGGUGCAAGCGUUAAUCGGAAUUACUGGGCGUAAAGCGUGCGCAGGCGGUUUUGUAAGUCUGACGUGAAAUCCCCGGGCUCAACCUGGGAAUUGCGAUGGAGACUGCAAGGCUAGAAUCUGGCAGAGGGGGGUAGAAUUCCACGUGUAGCAGUGAAAUGCGUAGAGAUGUGGAGGAACACCGAUGGCGAAGGCAGCCCCCUGGGUCAAGAUUGACGCUCAUGCACGAAAGGCGUGGG